rnacentral:rRNA from 1 species
UACGUAGGGGGCAAGCGUUGUCCGGAAUCAUUGGGCGUAAAGCGCGUGUAGGCGGCCCGAUUAGUCCGCUGUGAAAGUCCAGGGCUCAACCCUGGGAUGCCGGUGGAUACUGUCGGGCUCGAGUCCGGAAGAGGCGAGUGGAAUUCCUGGUGUAGCGGUGAAAUGCGCAGAUAUCAGGAGGAACACCAAUAGCGAAGGCAGCUCGCUGGGACGUUACUGACGCUGAGACGCGAAAGCGUGGGGAGCGAACAGG